GCAACGGUUCUGGUUUCAUGAAAGUCAUGGAACGCUUGAUGAGAGGAGUCUGGACACCCGGGGCCAUCGAAGUCAUGCAGCCAACCUUCCCCACGAAAGCUUCCAUCGCUGCUGCAUUUAUCUUUGUGCUGGAUAAGAAGACCGACCUUAUCUCCGCGCCCCAUGCUCUUGUCUACUUCGGCAUCUGCAUCUUCUUUGUUUACUUCAAGCUCUCAUCACUGCUGCUGGGCAUCCACGACCCCUUCCUGCCCUUCGAGAAUUUGUUCUGCGCCAUCUUCCUUGGUGGCAUCUGGGACUCCCUUGCCCAGACACUUGCUGGCAAGAAGGGUGCCGCAGCCGAGAAGAGUGGAGAGGCCGUCAAAAAUGGUAACGGCAAGAACAAAAAGGACUGAGGCAGCAGUGGUGUUUUUUAUUUUUUUCAUGUGUGACUAACAUGAUAGUGUGGGAGGAUGGACUCUUUUUGCUAACCUCCUUGGUACGACUCCCACCGCAACCAAAAUCAUUGAGAUACGUUUGUAUUCUCAGCACUUUUCUACCAACUUUUAUGGCAGUGAACACAUAUUGAUAUACACAAAACAGUCCUGUGUUUACAACCCAUUCUGUAUUUUUUUUUUUUUUUCUAUUCUUUCAAACAUUGUUAUGACAAGUAAUUUAUAAUACACAAGGCCAAACAAUAUUGUAUGAAAUUGGCCUAAAGCGGUCUUUGUAUGCGAUGAUUUCAUAUGAAUGGUGGUUUUAAACUUGAUGGAAAUGGAGGAAAUUGGUAAAAGAAAUAGUGAAGGGAAUUUAGUCUGUUCAGUUUCACAGUUAUUAUUAUUAUGGUUAUUAUUGUUAUAAUGAUUAUAGUGUCAAGAAUGUGGAAAUUAUAAGUGGUCAAAUUUCACCCACUUAUUUUUAAUUUUUCAGUUUGUUAUGAUAUGUAAUGUCUGUAUACAUAGUCGCUGAACUGUUUCCUCAUUACUUGUACAACGGAACAGGUAUAGAAUGUACAAACGACAAACCAUCUACGUGGUAUCGAAUAGUACUUUUUUGUGACAAGGGAAAUCUUCAGUAUUAUUUAGUACUUACACUCGGAAAUGGAACGCAAUGAAUUGUUUCUUUCUUCCUAUGAUUUUGCCUGCAAUGAUAAACUGAUCAAGGGAUGGUGACUUGCUUCUUAAAGUAUCUCAUCCCAGUGAUCUUGAUAAGAUAAUUCUAUGUUUUUAUUAUUUUAUUGAUAUUAUCUUUAUUAUUGUUAUUACUAUUAUUAUCACUUUUUUUUUUUUUCUUUUUUUUUUGUGAUAAAUAUUUUGUUCUUGUUUCUUAGGUAGUCAAUUCUUUUGAAUGUUUUCUAGUAUCCAAUGUCUUCAGACCCUACUAGUCAUGUUUAUGUGUUUCCUAGCAGAGGGUUUUGCCACGUCCCCCUCCUACCUUUCAACAGUCGACCAUCCAAUCCAUAUACCUAUUUCUCUCCAUGCCCCACCACUCUUUCGUUUUUUCUUACAGGAUUCUGGUGUGGGGACUGUGUGCAUUAUUCUCUGCUUUUCAUAGUAUUUUGUUGGUGAAGCAUAACACUCAUUUUUCUGGUCUUUUUAGAUUAAUAACAAAUGGUAUCUGAUUGGCUCAGUUAAAGUGUAAAAAAAGGAAAGAAAGUUUGGAAAGGACACAGAGACACACACACAUAAAAGAUAUCUAGGAAUUUCAUGAGAGACCAGACAUAGUGCAAUAGUUUCUCAUGGUUUAUAUGUAUGUAUAAAUAAAAACAGAACUCUAGCAGCAAGACCUUAAAGUAUAUACAAACACACACAAGGUGUUAGUCGGCUGCUUUUUACGUCCACUCCACACCUCCCUUCACCCAUCCUCAGCCCUCUCCCACCCAUGCAGCGGUCUGGCAUGUUGCAGCCGCACAAAAGACAAACAAGAGAUAAUAAUACUUGGCCGGGCAUGCUAGUCUGCAUUCUUUUUUUUUUCUUCUUUGAUGAUGCCAUAAUGUCAGAAAUCACAGAAAAUUGUUAAAUUUUUACAGAAAAUAAAAAUGUGAGACCCUC